AUCGCUUCUCGGCCUUAUGGCUAAAAUCAAAAUAAAGUAUCUGUUCUUAUCAGCUUAGCAUCUGAUAGAUCCUCCAUCGGAGGACAACCAAUAGGAAAAACACAAGUCCAUUUAUUUACAUAUAACUUUU
rnacentral:snRNA from 12 species